UGGGGCGUGGUGUAAUUGGUAACACACUUGACUCUGGAUCAAGUUAGUCUAGGUUCGAGUCCUAGCGCCCCAGCCA
rnacentral:tRNA from 1 species